rnacentral:rRNA from 1 species
UACGUAGGGUGCAAGCGUUGUCCGGAAUUAUUGGGCGUAAAGAGCUCGUAGGCGGUCUGUCACGUCGGCUGUGAAAACCCGAGGCUCAACCUCGGGCCUGCAGUCGAUACGGGCAAACUAGAGUACUGCAGGGGAGACUGGAAUUCCUGGUGUAGCGGUGGAAUGCGCAGAUAUCAGGAGGAACACCGGUGGCGAAGGCGGGUCUCUGGGACGGUACUGACGCUGAGACGCGAAAGCGUGGGGAGCGAACAGG